GGAGCUCUCCCNUAUGGUCGACCUGCAGGCGGCCGCGAAUUCACUAGUGAUUAGAGUUUGAUCCUGGCUCAGAUUGAACGCUGGCGGCGUGCCUAACACAUGCAAGUCGAACGUGAAAGUUCCUUCGGGAGCGAGUAAAGUGGCGCACGGGUGAGUAACACGUGGAUAAUCUACCGGGAAGUUGGGGAUAACGACUGGAAACGGUCGCUAAUACCGAAUACGCUGUUCUAUUUGUUUAGGACAGGAAAGGAGGCCUCUGCAUAUGCUUCCGCUUUUCGAUGAGUCCGCGUCCCAUUAGCUAGUUGGCGGGGUAAAGGCCCACCAAGGCGACGAUGGGUAGCUGGUCUGAGAGGAUGAUCAGCCACACUGGGACUGGAACACGGCCCAGACUCCUACGGGAGGCAGCAGUGGGGAAUAUUGCGCAAUGAGCGAAAGCCUGACGCAGCGACGCCGCGUGAGGGAUGAAGGUCCUCGGAUCGUAAACCUCUGUCAGAAGGGAAGAAGUUGCACUGUGCUAAUCAGCGGUGCAUUGACGGUACCUUCAAAGGAAGCACCGGCUAACUCCGUGCCAGCAGCCGCGGUAAUACGGAGGGUGCGAGCGUUAAUCGGAAUUACUGGGCGUAAAGCGCACGUAGGCUGUAUAUCAAGUCAAGGGUGAAAUCCCCGGGCUCAACCUGGGAACUGCCUUUGAAACUGGUAAACUGGAGUAUGUGAGAGGGUGGCGGAAUUCCUGGUGUAGGAGUGAAAUCCGUAGAUAUCAGGAGGAACAUCAGUGGCGAAGGCGGCCACCUGGCACAAAACUGACGCUGANGUGCGAAAGCGUGGGUAGCAAACAGGAUUAGAUACCCUGNUAGUCCACGCUGUAAACGAUGGAUACUGGGGUGUUGGGAUGUAUGUCUCGGCGCCGUAGCUAACGCGUUAAGUAUCCCGCCUGGGGAGUACGGUCGCAAGGCUGAAACUCAAAGAAAUUGACGGGGGCCCGCACAAGCGGNG
rnacentral:rRNA from 1 species